UUGCUUUAGGGGUACAUUUACUAAAAGUGAAGGGAUAUGAGAAGACUCGAAUGGCCCUCACCCAAGGAAGACCCACAAAUUCAAGAAGCAUUUGUAUUUUUA
ensembl:snRNA U6 U6 spliceosomal RNA